GUUUGGAACAAAUGUUUGCAAUGAUAAAUCGUGUAGUUAUAUAUCCGUAAUAAAGGAAAAGUUAAGUGAAAUUUCUUCAUUUCGUUCGUUUUCUCAAACAGGAAAAUAGGAUAUCAAGAAUCUCGCAGUGCAUUUAUGAAUAUGAAAACAUGUUGUCUCAGGAAACGUCAGCAUUAGUACUAGUACUGUUUGUUGAUAUGGUAUUUGCAGAAUGUUCAGUUGGCUGCCAAUCAUGCUCUGGUUCAACUUGCACAAGUUGUGAAUCAUCUUUCUUUUUGAUAAAUGGCAUCUGUUCACCUUGUCCCGAAAAUUGUGAAAGUUGUAACAGCUGGGAUGAUUGUACUUUAUGUAAGCCAACUUAUUUUGGUUUGCACGCAAGAUGUAUUUUCAGCUGUGAUGGUAAUUGUCUAAACAGUGAAUGCGCUGAUGAUACGGGAUAUUGUACGCAAUGUAAACCUGGUUUCUAUGGACUUGGUUGUCAACACAAUUGUAGUUUUUGUAAAAAUGAACGUUGCGAUUUACAUAUUUGCUCGAGUGGUUGUAGAGAUGGAUAUUUAGAGUAUACAAGCGAUCUCGAAACAAUAUGCCAACAUUGUCCUACAAAUUGUAAACAUUGUACGGAUGGGACCACGUGUAAUAUUUGCAACGAUGGUUUCCACCUCUAUUAGUUUAGCAACUAUGUUCACUGUGUGCCAUGUUUGCAAGAAACGCAAUGUCCAGACUGUGUUAUUCAAGGUUGUAAUCAGUGUCAAAUACACAACGAUUCGUUAGUAUGUGCUGAUUGUCCAGAAGGACAAAUAUUCAAUGGUAAAACAUGCGUAUCACACACAUCAUUGUGCUCACAAGAAUGUUCUACGUCUUGUGAUAGUACUGGAAUAUGUCAAGGAGAAUGUAAUGACGGCUGGACUGGUGAAAAAUGUUCAGCAAGAUGUAAUAGUCAAUGUUUAUAGUGCUCAAAGGAUAACGGAAAUAUUUGUCUACUGUGUGUUGGUAAUUUUUACUCAACCGAUUGCAGUUUAGCCUGCAACCCGGCAUGCACUGUACAAAGUGGUAAACAUACAUGUGCACAUACCGGCGGAUAUUGUUAAAACGGAUGUUAUGAAACAUUUUGGGGCGAUACCUGUGAGCAACCUUGUCCUGGUGGAUGUAAGGAUCUUAAAUGUGAUAGGAACAACGGUACAUGUACAGAUGGCUGUGAUGAUGGAGUGACUGGGGAUAACUGUACUCAAGCUCUCACAAUCGAAAGAUCAGUGACGACAAUAACGUCAGCCGAAACUGUAACACAACAACAAUCAUUUGUCCAACGUGACGAUACUAUUUUUAGCAUUGGUUGUUAUAUCUCUGGAUUCGGCUCUUGUGCUGCCAUAGUAGUAUUUGCUGUAUUGUUUUACCUUAUUAGACAAAGGUAUCUUGCACGUAAAACACCCCAAGACAACAUACCAAACAUUGAGAAUCCAACAUACUAUAACACUAAAACUGAUUUCGGCGCUGUUAAUACUGAGUCAGCUGAAGUGACUAAUAAUUACGAGAGUUUGAGUAAUAACAGAACCACGGAUAAUGUAUACAAUGAACUCGGAACAACAUUGUCAUAGACGUAAUGGAAAUUAGUUUAAGUUGUUUACUAGUGAAAGAAACAGAAUGAACUAUUACUGUACUUGUUGUUCCUGGGUUGAUUGAUGCAUAUUAUAACUAUCCUUAUAUAAUCAAUUUUAAAACGUCUAAUAUUCAUAAAAAGCUAGUUGUAUUAGGGAAUGAAACCCUAUUUCCUUCUAGCAAUUUUUUAACAUGUAAAAUACGACUAAUGUGUUUUUCAAAAUUAUUGUACCUUGUUAUUCUUCAUAAACGUUUUUUCUCGAAUAUUUUAAUCCUGUAUUUACAAUAUGAAAUUUAUACUUAUAUCUAAUAACAGCACAUUUUACAUUAUUUUUUAUUAUAAUGUGUGCAUAUAACAUGUAUAACAUUGUUCUUCAAAACUAUAUAAUUUAUACUAAAAGUGUUUGUUGAUAAAGUAUUUUAUCGUAAAUACUUCUGCAUGAUAGUCCCCAAUCAAUUUAUUCUGUUUACCUACAAAUUAGAUUGAUAAAAUUUGGACAAUUCUUAUACAUUGAAUGCAUCUUUAAAUAUUUUAUAUCAAAUUACGAAAUUUAUAAUGCUAACAAUUGGCUGAACGUCAAUUGUUUCACAUUUGGUCAUAUUGAUAUCUUUACUGUAAGAAAAUAAGAGUUACAACAGCUAUAAGAGUAUCUUUUAAAACAUAUCACUUAAAUGUAUUUUUAUUAAAAUUUGUGUAAUUGACGUUAGGAAUAUUUUAAUUGGCUGCAAAUCUUGAUCACAUGUUCAACAUGUUUAAGUUAUGAUCAUCUUACUUAUUAUCAAAUAGUGUUUGUUCAUUGCCUUAUUUGGAUUGUAAACAUUGCUUCAAAAACUGUAUUUCAUCUAAACAGAACGAUUAAGUAUUCAUGCAAGUUGAACUUUAACCUGUGAUAAUAAUUGUCCAAAUGGUAUAUAUAUAGAGGAUCCCGUCGAAACCUGGUUUCUAUAUGCUUAUAUUUACGUUAUUGCUUGCAAGGUUGUAUAUCUGGGUAUUAUCAAUUUAAAAGCGGUUAAAAACGGUAUAUAAAGUUGUUCGUCAAAUUGCAAUCAUUGUUCGGAUGUCAGAACAUGCUAAUUAUGCAACGAUAGUUUUCAUCUCUAUAUAUUUGAUGGUAAUGAAAACUGAUUCCCUGAAGAAAAACGGCAACGAGCCUAUUUAUGGAACUGAAAGUGCGAGUUAACGUCCUUGCGCCCUUAAGUAGAAAACAAAGACUCAAAUGCUCAAGGGCAAAAUGAAAAUAUUUGUCUACAUUGCAAUUGUGACAUUAUUUUAUCAAAAUGCAGUUGAGUUUGCCAUUCAUUGUGUACAGUAAGGGACAAUAAACGAACAUGUGGAUAUGCAGACGGAUACUAGUUUAAAAUGUGUGUAUGCAAAGUUCCCGGGGCGAAACCUGAAAUAUGUCAGAUAUGUGACAGAAAACCUGUAAACAUGUACUGAAGGAUGCAAAGAUGUUAAUCUCAGAGAUACAUAUUUUCAAAAUACUACGGGGUUCGAGUAUGUAUACACCGGUUUCUAUAAACAAGUACAUUUUAUGAGUAUGGUAUUAUUUGUGCAUAGAAACUUUUGUCACGAAAAAUAUUGAUAGAUUUAGAUAAUAAUAGGACCUGAUAAGUAUUAAGAAGAAAUACUAGAACGCGAGAAACAUUAAUUUGUCAAUAAAAAGACAAUGCCACAGAGUACACAACUGUUUAAUCACUAAUUUGAUGCAAAGACUUUCCUGAAUUUCUGAAAAGAAUAAUUAUAUAAUAUUAAUAAUCCGAUAUAUCAUGAAACAUUUUGUUAAUUAGGCUCUACAGUUUUUUUGCAUGUAGUAUAAAAUAUUUAUGCAAGUAAAUAAUUAUACUGAAGUUAUAACCGCAUCUACGUCACACAUAACUGACCAGAACCUCUGUAUCCUUUUACUGACAUUAUGCUUAUGCUUAUACUUUCUUUUCUAUAUUAUUUCCUACAUUUUAAUGACAUACUUUUUUAAGUAUUUUUGUUUAGUCUUUUUAAAUCAGCAUUUAUAUUUUUUCUUACUAUACAAAAAAAAAUGUUUCUUUUUAGAAUGUAUUGCUUUAUUGAAUUGUAAAAACGCUUCUUUACAGCUUUCUUUUUUACUCCUACCUAAAUCAUUAAAUCAUGUAGAUAAAGCAUAGAAUGAAUUUCAUCAACAAAUGUUUUUUUAGGUAUAUAACGAUGUAUUUCAAAAUACUUUCCUCUGCUAGUAAUAAAUUCAGAUACAUAAUUGAUCGAAGACUCCGUACUUCUGCCUUUGUCUUUAUAAGCUUUUAAGGCAGUACAUAAUUCAUCUACAUCGUUUGAAAUUUCAUUCAAGAAUUCGUUUUUAUACUGAGGGUUCCACUUAUGGAUAACAGGAUCGUAGUUUUUCUUGUCACGUGAUACGCUUUUCGCACGUACAAAUGUUACAGGCGCGUGAUGGGGAAACAGCGUAAAAUCCUGUACAUAUACAAAAAUACAUCAAUCAGUAAAACAAAAAGAAUUUCUCCAUUAUGUGUAUAGCAUGUACAUUGAUUGGUAUUAGCAUCUAUACUAAUAACGGAUAUCUAAUGCUUUUUGUAUCCUUGAUCAUUCGUUGCAUGUGGUAAAUACUAGUCCACUGAAAAAUCCGUUUGAUCUUAUAAGCGUGAAUAAUUUUAUUUUAUCAAUGCUUGAGAUUAGAUCACAGGUACCCACGACAUAGUAUCUCGUGCCCACGACUGAAUUAUACGUGUGCACGAUGUAGUAACUCGUGGCCACGACAUAGUAUCUCGUGCGCACCUCUUAAUUAUCUCGUGGGCACGACUUAGGAACUCAUGACCACGACAAAGUAUAUCGUGCGCACGAUAUAAAUAAACACACACACACACGCACACACACACGCUCACAAAAACACACACACAUAAUUCACCUCUGUGUCACCGUAUGAAACUGUCUGUAAUCAUUUAAGUUUAUUUUAGAAUUUUACUUGUCCAUGUUUCAUUUAAAAAAAUCUAAUCAUACUUAUCAAUGAAUUUUAUAAAAUCUGGGUAUGCUAUUUUCUGUCGGGUUAAUCCCUCAAAAUUCCGAAAUAAACACUUUAUAUUACUCCUAUUAUAUCCCUAAAUACGAGUAGUGCCACUUUUGCCUUCCCGUUUAAAUAAAGCUUGUCGACAAGUAUGAACGAUUCCUUGUCUAGACAGCGCGCCAUCAGCAUAAUCGGGACGAGGUGCUACUGGUCUCUACAACUUCUUUCGGGUAUUGUUGACAUAAAUUAUAUUUGUCAGCUUACUCGCGUUUGCACGCACCAACGUCUUUUUGGGAUUGCAGGCAAAAUUUGCGACAACGGAACUUAUUUUAUUUGAAUUGUACUUGCCGAUUCUAUGAGCAUGUUGUAAU